GAUGAAGAACGUAGCGAAAUGCGAUAAGUAAUGUGAAUUGCAGAAUUCAGUGAAUCAUCGGAUCUUUGAACGCACAUUGCGCCCCCCAGUAUUCUGGCGGGCAUGCCUGUUCGAGCGUCAUUUCAACCAUCAAGCCCUGCUUGUGUUGGGGUCCUGCGGCUGCCCGCAGGCCCUGAAAACCAGUGGCGGGCUCGCUAGUCACACCGAGCGCAGUAGCACAUCUCGCUCAGGGCGUGCGGCGGGCUCCAGCCGUUAAAGCACCCACCUUUCGCAAGGUUGACCUCGGAUCAGGUAGGAAUACCCGCUGAACUUAAGCAUAUCAAUAAGCGGAGGA
rnacentral:misc_RNA from 1 species